rnacentral:rRNA from 1 species
AACGAACGCUGGCGGCGUGCCUAACACAUGCAAGUCGUGCGGGAAAGUGGGGGCAACUCCACGAGUAGAGCGGCGCACGGGUGAGUAACACGUAGGUAACCUGCCUCCGAGAUCGGGAUAACUUGUCGAAAGACGGGCUAAUACCGGAUAAGACCACGUGAGCUGCGGUUCGCGGGGUAAAAGGUGGCCUCUGCUUGCAAGCUACCACUUGGAGAUGGGCCUGCGCGCCAUUAGCUAGUUGGUGGGGUAACGGCUCACCAAGGCAAGGAUGGCUAGCUGGUCUGAGAGGAUGGCCAGCCACACUGGGACUGAGACACGGCCCAGACUCCUACGGGAGGCAGCAGUGGGGAAUAUUGCGCAAUGGGCGAAAGCUUGACGCAGCGACGCCGCGUGGGUGAUGAAGGCCUUCGGGUCGUAAAGCCCUGUCUGGAGGGAAGAAUCCUCGGUGACCUAAUACGUCGCCGACCUGACGGUACCUCCGAAGGAAGCACCGGCUAACUCCGUGCCAGCAGCCGCAGUAAAAC